CAGUAGCCGCGGUAAUACGUAGGGUGCAAGCGUUAAUCGGAAUUACUGGGCGUAAAGCGCGCGCAGGCGGUUAUGUAAGACAGUUGUGAAAUCCCCGGGCUCAACCUGGGAACUGCAUCUGUGACUGCACAGCUAGAGUACGGUAGAGGGGGAUGGAAUUCCGCGUGUAGCAGUGAAAUGCGUAGAUAUGCGGAGGAACACCGAUGGCGAAGGCAAUCCCCUGGACCUGUACUGACGCUCAUGCACGAAAGCGUGGGGAGCAAACAGGAUUAGAUACCUGAGUAGUCCCUGUCUCUUAUAC
rnacentral:rRNA from 1 species